ACCAAGUGCAAUGGCGGCCGCAAGCGACAGUUUUUUUGGUGAUGUUUUCCCCCAUCUCUUCAUCCCCCUGACAAAGCACAUGCUUCACUCUCUCUCACUCUCCAAUAGGUAGAGGAAGAAAGGGAAGCAUCAGACAGGGCCAGUCUAGGGAGGAAGAAACGAGGGCCCAAGAAGAAGGAGACAAAGAAGAAGGAAAAAGAGAAAGAGGGAAAACCGGUUAAAGCCAAAAAACGGAAAAAGAUUGUAAGCCUCUCGAUCAUUACGGUCCAUCAACCACCAUACAUUCUGAUGACACGUCAUUCUACUUCAU
rnacentral:lncRNA from 1 species